CUUGGAACUGCAUUUGAUACUGGCAAACUAGAGUAUGGUAGAGGAAUGGGGAAUUUCUGGUGUAGCGGUGAAAUGCGUAGAGAUCAGAAGGAACACCAAUGGCGAAGGCAACAUUCUGGACCAAUACUGACACUGAGGGACGAAAGCGUGGGGAUCAAACAGGAUUAGAUACCCUGGUAGUCCACGCUGUAAACGAUGAGUACUAGCUGUUGGAUUCGGUGUAAAGGAUCUAGUGGCGUAGCUAACGCGUUAAGUACUCCGCCUGGGGACUACGGCCGCAAGGCUAAAACUCAAAGGAAUUGACGGGGACCCGCACAAGCGGUGGAGCAUGUGGUUUAAUUCGAUGCAACGCGAAGAACCUUACCUGGUCUUGACAUCCUGCGAACUUUCUAGAGAUAGAUUGGUGCCUUCGGGAACGCAGUGACAGGUGCUGCACGGCUGUCGUCAGCUCGUGUUGUGAAAUGUUGGGUUAAGUCCCGCAACGAGCGCAACCCCUAUUGAUAGUUACCAUCAUUAAGUUGGGUACUCUAUUGAGACUGCCGCUGACAAGGCGGAGGAAGGUGGGGACGACGUCAAGUCAUCAUGGCCCUUACGACCAGGGCUACACACGUGCUACAAUGGGUAUUACAGAGGGCAGCGAAGUAGCGAUAUGGAGCGAAACUCAGAAAGGUACUCUUAGUCCGGAUUGCAGUCUGCAGCUCGACUGCAUGAAGUCGGAAUCGCUAGUAAUCGCAGGUCAGAAUACUGCGGUGAAUACGUUCCCGGGUCUUGUACACACCGCCCGUCACACCAUGGGAGUGGGUUGCUCCAGAGAGUAGAUAGCUUAACGAAUGGGCGUU
rnacentral:rRNA from 1 species